GAAUAGCAUUUGAAACUGCGGAGCUAGAGUUCGGGAGAGGGUGGCGGAAUUCCAGGUGUAGGAGUGAAAUCCGUAGAUAUCUGGAGGAACACCAGAGGCGAAGGCGGCCACCUGGACCGAAACUGACGCUGAGGUGCGAAAGCGUGGGUAGCAAACAGGAUUAGAUACCCUGGUAGUCCACGCCGUAAACGAUGGAUAUUUGAUGUUGGGUGUCAAAAGCUCAGUGUCGGAGCAAAUGUAUUAAAUAUCCCGCCUGGGGAGUACGGUCGCAAGACUGAAACUCAAAAGAAUUGACAGGGACCCGCACAAGCAGCGGAGCAUGUGGUUUAAUUCGAAGCAACGCGAAGAACCUUACCAAAUCUUGACAUACCAAAGCUAUCUGAGUAAGA
rnacentral:rRNA from 1 species